rnacentral:lncRNA from 1 species
UUUUAGGCGAAGUAUUUCUUGACUGCAUCUGGAAUUCACAGGACGAGUGAACUUCUCCAUCCAUUGUUGUAAGUGUCGAGACAUUGCCUGAAGAGGCUCUCUUGUCAACACAUGGACUUUCAUAGCUUGGAGUUCACUUGCCCCUGGAAUCGAGCACGAAAGACAAGACCUUCUUGAGCACAAGGUCCCUCGGAACACACGAGGCUUGAUCUUCUUAUCGAAUGCUUUCUUCACUCUCUGCUGAU